UACGUAGGGCGCAAGCGUUGUCCGGAAUUAUUGGGCGUAAAGAGCUCGUAGGCGGCCUGUUACGUCUGCUGUGAAAUCCCGGGGCUUAACCCCGGGCGUGCAGUGGAUACGGGCAGACUGGAGUUCGGCAGGGGAGACUGGAAUUCCUGGUGUAGCGGUGAAAUGCGCAGAUAUCAGGAGGAACACCGGUGGCGAAGGCGGGUCUCUGGGCCGAUACUGACGCUGAGGAGCGAAAGCGUGGGGAGCGAACAGG
rnacentral:rRNA from 1 species